rnacentral:rRNA from 1 species
GAUGAACGCUAGCUACAGGCUUAACACAUGCAAGUCGAGGGGAAACGAUAUUGGAAGCUUGCUUCCGAUAGGCGUCGACCGGCGCACGGGUGAGUAACGCGUAUCCAACCUGCCCACCACUUGGGGAUAACCUUGCGAAAGUAAGACUAAUACCCAAUGAUAUCUCAAGAAGACAUCUGAAUGAGAUUAAAGAUUUAUCGGUGAUGGAUGGGGAUGCGUCUGAUUAGCUUGUUGGCGGGGUAACGGCCCACCAAGGCGACGAUCAGUAGGGGUGCUGAGAGGAAGGUCCCCCACAUUGGAACGGAGACACGGUCCAAACUCCUACGGGAGGCAGCAGUGAGGAAUAUUGGUCAAUGGGCGAGAGCCUGAACCAGCCAAGUAGCGUGCAGGAUGACGGCCCUAUGGGUUGUAAACUGCUUUUAUAAGGGAAUAAAGUGAGCCUCGUGAGGCUUUUUGCAUGUACCUUAUGAAUAAGGACCGGCUAAUUCCGUGCCAGCCGCCGCCGUAA